ACACUUACCUGGCAGUGUAGAUACCAUGAUCACGCAGGUGGUUUUCCCAGGGCGAGGCUCAUCCAUUGCACUUGGGAUGUGCUAACCCCUGUGAUUUCCCCAAAUGUGGGAAACUCGGCUGCAUAAUUUGUGGUAGUGGGGGCCUGCGUUUGCACUCUCUCCUG
ensembl:snRNA U1 U1 spliceosomal RNA